GCUCAACCCCUCCUCUAUUUUGAAAAUUUUCUUUGCCAUCUAUUUAUGUUGGAAUCCAGAAAAAAAAAAAUCAUAGAAUGGUGCAUCAUAAUUGACGUAACAAUGAUCAAACAAUUGAGAUAAUGAUGAGCACACAAAGAAGUAGUAAUUUCUGUUUUGUCGAGCACUUGGUGCUCAAAACAAAUACAAGCAAAUUCCAAGUAAAGACGUAGGGAUGAAAUCAAAGAGAAGAACAUAGACCAAGUAAAUUCCAGAGAAACAAAAAAAAAUGUAGAGAGUGGCCGAUGUAGGGGAAACGGGAAAAAAAAUCAAUUUACUUUGAAAAAAUCUUAUGCAAGUUGGAGACCAGGGCCGAUGCAAGGAAGAUGAAAUGCAGGAGGUUCUUGUUGACGACGUCGGAAACGGGUAGGAGAUGAGGUCAGAGAUGGAGGGGUGGGGAGACAAUGAAAUGCGGGGUUUUGAAGAGCAAGGGAAAUGAUUUUGACGAACAAAUGGAGAAGCCGAGAUGUGUGACUCGGUCAACGAGUCUCAGAAAAGAAAGAAAAAAAAUAAGGUGGGUUUUUGAUAAGAAGAAGAGGGUGAUUUCAAGAUGCAGAAGAAUGUGUUUUCGGAAGGUAGAAGAAGGAGUUUUUGGGAAGAAGGGAGAAAUAAGGGAGAGAAGAGGGUGUGGCAUUUUUUUAUUGAAAAAUUCUGCUUGCAACCGCGUAAGGGAACACCUGCGUAACCAGCGCCACGUGGAAAAUGAAACUCUGCAUUUUAUUUAUACCAAAAUGCAAUGUUCCCUCCCUCCCACAAAGUGUUGAAUUUCCUCCCUCCCGAAGAACAAUUCCCUUCAUCUUCAACCCGUAAGAACACGAACGUGGUUGCAGUUUCCUCGUUUGCAGGUUUUGUAAGGCCACUGAGUCAUGCGUUCUGUUUCUUCCUACAUCAUCGCCGUUAGGGGACCACGGGUUGUAAAGAUCAGCACUCAUGGAAGGGCCAGGAAGGCUAAGAAACAUCUUCAACAUGUUAAGUUCACGCGCCUGAGUUGGGGAAUGUUUUCCCUUUGGGUUUGGAGAUGAUUUGUAAUUCUUAUUUAGUGCUUUGGGAGAGGGCUCUUGGAGAACUGCUUUGGGAUCCUAGUGUUAUGGCUACAACUGCUUACUAAAUUUAAACAAAGAAUAGGGAUAGAGGAUUUUUACCCUCUUUUUCUCCUUAA